ensembl:snoRNA SNORA70 Small nucleolar RNA SNORA70
AAACAAAAUGAAAACCUGAAUGGAGUUCCCCAAGGAGCCCUGGUGUGCAACAGGAGCCUCUUUAGUAGUGUAUACAGCUGGUUGCCUAUAUGGGUUGUCCUAAGGGACCUUGGAGGCAAUU